GCAGUGGUGGUUCGGUGGCAGAAUCCUCACCUUCCGUGUAGGAGGCCUGGGUUCGAUUCCCAGCCAAUGCA
rnacentral:tRNA from 1 species